GUGUGGAGGCUGGUAAAAUGGUAACUGGUGAAGUACUGACACUUCAUAAGCGAUUGUUAGCAAUGCUAAAUGAGGCAAGGUGGGUCAAACCAUGAAAUAUGUGAAUAAGGGGUGAAAGGAAGUAAUCUUCCAACUAGGAGAUUGGGUUUGGCUUCACUUGAAAAAGGAGAGGUUCCCUACUCAAAAGAAGUUCAAGCUCAACUCAAAAGGAGAUGGUCCCUUCCAAGUUGUGAGAAAGAUCAAUAACAAUGCUUACGAGUUAGAGUUACCUCCAAGCUAUAACAUGAGUCAUACUUUUAAAUGUUAGUGACCUUUCUCCUUUUGAUAUAGAUGUUGCAAAUGUGUGGUCGCAUUCUCUCUAAGAAGGGAAGGAUGAUGAGUCCAUGACUCCUCAUAAGGCUAAAUAGGUUCUUCCUAGGAGGAUCACUAGGAGCAUGACUAAAACGGAAACUCCUUGCUCACCUUGUUUGUUAGUGGCACCUUUAAGGUUCUCACUUUUUAGAAGAAUGAAAGGUCUAUUCCAAGGAAGUGUACUCAUCACACCCCUACUUUUUCUAAAAGGAUACUCUUGAGUCGAAAACAUCUUGAAAAAGGGAGACUAUAUGGAGGACUACACUUACAUGAAAAAAGAGAAAAGCACAAAUUUAAAGAUUUGAUGAGGCUCAUAAAAAACUUAGGCUGCACAUGGGGAAAGAAAAAAAAAACACCUUUUUGAA